GGGUUGUGAGGUUAAGCGACUAAGCGUACACGGUGGAUGCCCUGGCAGUCAGAGGCGAUGAAGGACGUGCUAAUCUGCGAAAAGCGUCGGUAAGGUGAUAUGAACCGUUACAGCCGGCGAUGUCCGAAUGGGGAAACCCAGUGCAAUUCGUUGCACUAUCGUUAACUGAAUACAUAGGUUAACGAGGCGAACCGGGGGAACUGAAACAUCUAAGUACCCCGAGGAAAAGAAAUCAACCGAGAUUCCCCCAGUAGCGGCGAGCGAACGGGGAGCAGCCCAGAGUCUGAAUCAGCUUGUGUGUUAGUGGAACGGUCUGGAAAGUCCGACGGUACAGGGUGAUAGUCCCGUACACCAAAAUGCACAGGCUGUGAACUCGAAGAGUAGGGCGGGACACGUGGUAUCCUGUCUGAAUAUGGGGGGACCAUCCUCCAAGGCUAAAUACUCCUGACUGACCGAUAGUGAACCAGUACCGUGAGGGAAAGGCGAAAAGAACCCCGGCGAGGGGAGUGAAAAAGAACCUGAAACCGUGUACGUACAAGCAGUGGGAGCACCUUCGGGUGUGACUGCGUACCUUUUGUAUAAUGGGUCAGCGACUUAUAUUCUGUAGCAAGGUUAACCGUAUAGGGGAGCCGCAGGGAAACCGAGUCUUAACUGGGCGUUAAGUUGCAGGGUAUAGACCCGAAACCCGGUGAUCUAGCCAUGGGCAGGUUGAAGGUUGGGUAACACUAACUGGAGGACCGAACCGACUAAUGUUGAAAAAUUAGCGGAUGACUUGUGGCUGGGGGUGAAAGGCCAAUCAAACCGGGAGAUAGCUGGUUCUCCCCGAAAGCUAUUUAGGUAGCGCCUCGUGAAUUCAUCUUCGGGGGUAGAGCACUGUUUCGGCUAGGGGGUCAUCCCGACUUACCAACCCGAUGCAAACUGCGAAUACCGAAGAAUGUUAUCACGGGAGACACACGGCGGGUGCUAACGUCCGUCGUGAAGAGGGAAACAACCCAGACCGCCAGCUAAGGUCCCAAAGUCAUGGUUAAGUGGGAAACGAUGUGGGAAGGCACAGACAGCCAGGAUGUUGGCUUAGAAGCAGCCAUCAUUUAAAGAAAGCGUAAUAGCUCACUGGUCGAGUCGGCCUGCGCGGAAGAUGUAACGGGGCUAAACCAUGCACCGAAGCUGCGGCAGCGACACUAUGUGUUGUUGGGUAGGGGAGCGUUCUGUAAGCCUGCGAAGGUGUGCUGUGAGGCAUGCUGGAGGUAUCAGAAGUGCGAAUGCUGACAUAAGUAACGAUAAAGCGGGUGAAAAGCCCGCUCGCCGGAAGACCAAGGGUUCCUGUCCAACGUUAAUCGGGGCAGGGUGAGUCGACCCCUAAGGCGAGGCCGAAAGGCGUAGUCGAUGGGAAACAGGUUAAUAUUCCUGUACUUGGUGUUACUGCGAAGGGGGGACGGAGAAGGCUAUGUUAGCCGGGCGACGGUUGUCCCGGUUUAAGCAUGUAGGCUGGUUGUCCAGGCAAAUCCGGAUAAUCAAGGCUGAGGUGUGAUGACGAGGCACUACGGUGCUGAAGUAACAAAUGCCCUGCUUCCAGGAAAAGCCUCUAAGCAUCAGGUAACAUUAAAUCGUACCCCAAACCGACACAGGUGGUCAGGUAGAGAAUACCAAGGCGCUUGAGAGAACUCGGGUGAAGGAACUAGGCAAAAUGGUGCCGUAACUUCGGGAGAAGGCACGCUGGUGUGUAGGUGAAGUCCCUGCGGAUGGAGCUGAGACCAGUCGAAGAUACCAGCUGGCUGCAACUGUUUAUUAAAAACACAGCACUGUGCAAACACGAAAGUGGACGUAUACGGUGUGACGCCUGCCCGGUGCCGGAAGGUUAAUUGAUGGGGUUAUCCGUAAGGAGAAGCUCUUGAUCGAAGCCCCGGUAAACGGCGGCCGUAACUAUAACGGUCCUAAGGUAGCGAAAUUCCUUGUCGGGUAAGUUCCGACCUGCACGAAUGGCGUAAUGAUGGCCAGGCUGUCUCCACCCGAGACUCAGUGAAAUUGAACUCGCUGUGAAGAUGCAGUGUACCCGCGGCAAGACGGAAAGACCCCGUGAACCUUUACUAUAGCUUGACACUGAACAUUGAGCCUUGAUGUGUAGGAUAGGUGGGAGGCUUUGAAGCGUGGACGCCAGUCUGCGUGGAGCCAACCUUGAAAUACCACCCUUUAAUGUUUGAUGUUCUAACGUUGGCCCCUUACCGGGGUUGCGGACAGUGUCUGGUGGGUAGUUUGACUGGGGCGGUCUCCUCCCAAAGCGUAACGGAGGAGCACGAAGGUUAGCUAAUCCUGGUCGGACAUCAGGAGGUUAGUGCAAUGGCAUAAGCUAGCUUGACUGCGAGCGUGACGGCGCGAGCAGGUGCGAAAGCAGGUCAUAGUGAUCCGGUGGUUCUGAAUGGAAGGGCCAUCGCUCAACGGAUAAAAGGUACUCCGGGGAUAACAGGCUGAUACCGCCCAAGAGUUCAUAUCGACGGCGGUGUUUGGCACCUCGAUGUCGGCUCAUCACAUCCUGGGGCUGAAGUAGGUCCCAAGGGUAUGGCUGUUCGCCAUUUAAAGUGGUACGCGAGCUGGGUUUAGAACGUCGUGAGACAGUUCGGUCCCUAUCUGCCGUGGGCGCUGGAGAAUUGAGGGGGGCUGCUCCUAGUACGAGAGGACCGGAGUGGACGCAUCACUGGUGUUCGGGUUGUCAUGCCAAUGGCACUGCCCGGUAGCUAAAUGCGGAAGAGAUAAGUGCUGAAAGCAUCUAAGCACGAAACUUGCCCCGAGAUGAGUUCUCCCUGAGACUUUAAGUCUCCUGAAGGAACGUUAAAGACGAUGACGUUGAUAGGCCGGGUGUGUAAGCGCAGCGAUGCGUUGAGCUAACCGGUACUAAUGAACCGUGAGGCUUAACCUUACAACGCCGAAG
rnacentral:rRNA from 2 species